UACCAGCCGAUUGGAGAGAGGCCCUAAGCGCUCGUUCAUCAUCUGCUACGCUUCAGCAACAGCGCGUCAGAUUAUGCGACCGGCCCUUAGCCGCCCACCGAAGGGGCAAGUGACAUCCGGCAAGGCCCGCACACCGGCCGCGCCCGUCAUCUAACUCUCAGGUAAAAGGACAAGGGGAGAGGC
rnacentral:ncRNA from 2 species